AUGAAGUGAUCUAGGAGUGAAACAAUGGUGCAGCAUAUUCUGGGUGAAUCAUAUUUUUUUUGUGUGUCUAACAUCUAAAUGAUGUCAGAUGUAUCAGGUUUAACUAAUUGUGGUGGUUUGCUUGGCUCAGAGCAUGACACUAGUAAGAGGUUUGGCCUUGUUGGAGGAAGUAUGGCCCUGUUAGAGGAAGUGUGUCCUGGAGGGGUGGGGGACUUUGAGAGAGCUUCCUUCUAGGUGCCUGGGAGUCAGUCUCUCUUGGCUGCAACCAGAUCAAGAUGUAGAACUCUCCAGCAGCAUGCCUGCCUGUCUGCUGCCAUACUUCCUGCUACGAUGUUAAUGGACUGAACCUCUGAACCUGGAAAAGCAAAGACAAGGUGUCACUCCACGUUCUACCUGCUGGAGGAAUUUCAGUCCUCAGUGGAGCAGAAAGAACUGAGUAGGGCUGCUGCCAGCUAUAAAAGACUUUUUUUAAUGGUUCCUGCUUACUACCUAAAGCUAUAAAUAAACUAUGCUAGGUCUUUCUUUUCCUUCAGUUAACUGAUGUCGCCGCCAUUAUCCGUCCAGCGGAAUAAGGGAGACGACACAGGAGACUCUUCUCGAAGCAGUUUAUUCAGGAAACUUUACAUCUGGAAGCCCCCGAUCCUAGCCUGCUGCCCCAGUUAUAUAUCGCAGCCUGUACCAAUCAGUGACCACCACGAAGGGGCUCAUGAUAGGAUCAAGACGAUGGCCCAAAAGUGGCCUGAUAUGACAUCAAAGGGUGCAUGCGCACUUCUCCAGUGCGUAUGUGACUCUUAAAGGGGAACAACAGGAUGCAGGGUUGAGUCAUGCGACCUGGCAGCCAGCCCGGGCACCAUCUUGGGAUGGCCACCACACCCGCUCUCCACAAACUGACAAUGAAGAAGUACUCGUGAGGACUCGGUAGUUGCAUAAGGGACAAGAGUGGCAUGCCUAGAAACUUGAGCAAGAUGAGCCAUCAGCGAGAAACUUGAGCUCGCCAGACGAGCUCAGAUGCACUUACUCAUAUACUAUUUCCAUUUUAGAUGUGCCUGACUUUGCAACCAGGUGGAUUAGAUAACAUUCCGCGUAUGCCAAGUUGAUCAUGUUUCCUAGUCGCUUGGUUUCUAUCAGGUCCCAUAGUUAGGAGCUAUUCCUCCAAAGAGUGACUGCUCAGUGAAGAGGGUUGUGCUCUAAUAUACUGAUGGUUUCCCGUUCAGGAACUUUGGACGCUGUGUGUCCACCUUCUCAUUUAACUUUUGAAUGCCAUGAGUCCUAGGAGCUAUAUAAGAUGGUUAUAGUUUGAACAAUCUAAAUAGCCUUUCUCUGAGUCCCAAAGCUGUCAGGUCACUGGGGGAGAAUAGCUGAGCGUCAUAAAGAGUUUUAUGUGUCGUUUCCAAAAUCCAAAACGAACAGCAAUCAUAGACUUUUUUUCUAAAUUUGUAAAUAAACUGUCCUGGACACUGAAAAGGUUUAGUGCAUGUCAGACAAUGCAACACCCCAAGAAAAUUCACUGUAUUUCCAUGGGUUUAUUUUCCCUUUCUGACGCCCAUGGUCUUAAUCUAAAAAUAACAGCCUCCUCCUGCUGUCUGAUCUCAUCAGCACAUUCUUCUCAGUGUGGCCAGAAUGAAGGGACAACCAAUUCCUGUGGACCAAUUUGUAGCACAGAGCACAAAGAGUUGGCAUAAGCUUAAGUCGAAAAUCGAGUGUCUAUUCUUGAAAGCAAAAGCAAACUGCUUCUCAGGUUUAUUUCUCUGUUUACAGAAUCAGAGAGAAAAAAAGAAAAAAGGAUUGUCUUUCUAAAAGCUGCAAUCAGUAUUCUAGUGUGUGCAAUUUUGGAUAAGCGAACUCCAUUUGAAGAUCUACACACUUGAAGAACAAGCUUCUACUCAGCUAGGACCACAGUUGUCCCCUGGAAUUUUUUAAAAAGAUUUAUUUAUAUUAUGUAUAUGAGUACACUGUAGCUGUCUUCAGACACACCGGAAGAGGGCAUAAGAUCCCAUUAUAGAUGUUUGUGAGCCACCAUGUGGUUUCUAGGAAUUGAACUCAGGACCUUCGGAAGAGCAGCCAGUGCUCUUAACAACUGAGCCAUCUCUCAGCUCCUGCCCCCCUGGAAUUUUCUUAAGGCUGACCAUUGCCCAUCAGACAAUUACAGGGGACAACACCAGAGGUAUAUCAUGACUCUCUUCCAAGAUUUCCCAGGGAUGUACUGAAAUAUGCAACAGUGAUUUUGUGUGUUUUUGUGUGCAUGCAGGAGUGUGUGUUUGCAUGUUUCUGCGUGACUGCUUAUACACAUAUAUGUACAUGUGGCAGCCAGAGGACAGCCCCGGGUGCUCAGGUGCUCACCUGAUUUUUGUUUUUUGUUGUUUGUUUGGGGAUGAUUGAGUUUUGGUUAUGUUUUGUUUUGUUUUCUACUCUAAGUAUCUCUAACCUGUAUGUAACUCAACUAGUAAGCUAAGGUGGCCAUCCUGCUAGCUCCAGGAAUCCUCCAUCUCCACUUCUCCAAUACUAGGAUUAUCACACCCAGUUUUUCACACUGUUGCUGGGCAUCACACUUGGGACUACAUGCUUGUGUGUCAAGCAGUCAUUUGACAAACUCAUCUUCUCAUUUCCACAGUGAUGUUUAUACUGAAGUGAUUUAAAGGUGAUGAGCUAUGAGUAAAGGUAACUGGGCAACUAAGCUGAAGGAAGAUUUAGAGGUGUUGAGCUAGAUGUAAAGGUAAAGGCAUGUGAGCCCUGGGAGGCUUAGAAGAGCCCAGCCAUUAAGCCACUAAGGCAGGAUUAAAAUGAGCCUGUGUGUGUGUGUGUGUGUGUGUGUGUGUGUGUGUGUGUGUGUGUGUCUUUCAUCAGCAGAUCUGAGAUAGCUCCUGGCCAGGAGCACAGCAAUGACUCAUCGGGAACUCAAAGCAGUGUAGCUAAAAACUACCCACUACAGAAGUAUGAUGGACUGCUUUUUGACCCACUGCUUUGUCUGUGAAGUUGUCACAAAGGAUAUGUUAGCCUUCGGUGUGUUGGUGACUACCAAAGUCCUGUUAUUGAUUGAGGUCAUUUGUCCCAAUAUUAUGCCCAGAUACAAGGGCAAAUAAUGUGGUAAUGGCUCAGGGACAUGUUGUAAUACAUCUGAUAAUGUAGUCUUUUCAUAAUUUUAUUCGGCUUUGAAGCACCAAAAUGUCCCAAGAACCAUGUGGAAAAUUGCAGGCUUGACCAAUUGGACCUUCCUCUUAGCCUGGAACACCAGAACACCUUAUGGAGUCAAAAUAUCAAGAGUAUCAAGAUACAAGCUUAGACACUUGCAAAACUCACUGGCAAGCCAGUCAGACAAAUAUAAGAGAGCCAGAACGAGCGCCUAUGGAGUUCAGGAACCACUACUCAUGGAGUGUUUUUUAUAAAGCAAAUAAAUUAUACCUACCUAUUUUGAUCACUGGAACUCUAUCCUCUAAAGAAGCCUUCCAGAGAAUUUUGAGGACUAUGUCACUUUGAAUAUCAUGCCUGCUGCUCUACCACAAUUGUUAUGGACAGCAUGGUGACCUUAACUGACAGUGAGGUGAAUCUUCAGCCCGCCAAUGAAACAUAAGAGGAAAAAUGGUUAACAGGACAAGGAAGACGUGGAUCUGUUUAAAAGUAUUUCUUUGGAAUGAUACCAAUCUCCAUUGCCAGCAGUCCAGUCCACUCAAAUCAGUAGCAAUGGCUUGAUCCAGAAGAAACCACAAGGCUCCACCCAUCAGCACAAGUCUGCUGAAUCAGCUUGAAGCAGCCAGAAAAGCUUUAGAGGUUCUUUGGUACAUUUCUCUCUACAACGUCAUGACAAGUGGAGAUCAUGAAAGGAAGCAAGGUGAACCAAUGCCCGAGCACCGUCCAUCAUCCAUUGGGUUAUACUUAUACUCUUUCCAAUAUCAUGUGUCUGAAGCGUCCUCUCAAGCAAAAUAUCACAUGCCCUUUCACCAGACAACUUCCAGAAACACACAUGUGUGUUCUCAGCAAAACAUCCUCCCAUAAGACAGUUUCCAGAAAACAUCACAUGACACAACUGAGUCUCCAAGGAAACAAGACAUUCCCACUUCACUCUUUCUCAUGCAGAACAGGUUUCAAGUUACGGUUCUUUAGCCUGUCUCUUGCAACAAAUAAGUAAUGGCACCUCUGUACAGGAAGACAGGCUGAAUAUCUGAAUGAAGUUGUGGGUUUCAUUAGGAAAGAAUAGAAGAGAAUCCCAUAUAGUUCAGCCUCUACUGUGGGAUUACCUCAUAUUUGGAAGCUAAAAACUGUUCUCUCAUACCUAGUAGUCAGAAAAUAUGGAAUAUAAUAUGGCAUUCCAGAACUUGUGCUCAGUCUCAGAGGCAUUAAUUAAUUUUAAUUUUUUGAGACAAAGUUUUCCCUAGCCCAGGGUGGCCUUAAUCUAACUAUGUAGCUGAAGAUGAUCUUGAACUGCUGGUCUUCCCAAUUUUAUCUGUGAUUACUGGCAAGCUUUCCCACGCUCAGAUGAAAUACAUUCCUUUAAUUUUCUUCAUAUUGACUCUCCAUUAGCUAGCUAAGCUUUGGAAUAAUAGUUUUUACUUUUUUCUAGAGAAAGUGCUCUCUUUUAUAUCACUUGCUAUUUAUUCUGAACUGGGUAGUGCCUACCAAGUGGUUUCUUCUUAUUUACCUAACUGGUUCCCAUGCAACUUUUUGUUAAAGUAUAAUUCAAAGGAGUAAGAAAGGGAGAAAAGAAAACCCACAGUUUGCCAUACCUCUAGGUACACACUUUUAUAUAUUUACAUCUUCUAAAGCAAAGAAACAUUUUGCAACCCUACUGGAUUGAAAAUGGUCAUGGGAUUGCUUCAGACACUUCCAUCCAGAAGCAGAGUGUAUUUUUUUCACUCCCUAAGUUCAAGCUGACCUUGUGACUUCCUUGGACUGCCUGCCUACUGCAAACCUAUGUGUGACUUCUUACCGAGCCUUCUCAGCUUUGGUUCUGUGUUUCUGGAACUCUUAAACCUGGGGAAACGACAGAUACUAUCUUCUGAGCAGGCCAUGGAAUGAGAGCAGAUGAGUCUUCAUGGUGCACCAGCCUCAGCUAACUGGUACCUGGUUGCAACUAAAGCAACCCCCUUUUUAUACCAAAGGAAACAGAUGAGCUUCUUGGCUGAGACCUCCACAGACUGCUGCCCAAGCACCAUGAACAGAUGGCUGAUAUUUUCAACACAAAGUUUUGGGGAAAUUUUCAUGCUGCAAUAGAUAACUGAUAUCCUCAGCCCACAAUGCUCAUUGUUUAUCUCUGUUCUCUCCUUUUAUUAUGGUGUUAGAGCAGUGGUUCUCAACCUUCUUAAAUCUGUGACCCCUUAAUACAGUUCCUCAUGUUUGGUGCCCCCCCAACCAUAAAAUUAUUUUUACCACGAUGUCAUAACUUAUUUUUGUACUGUUAUGAAUUGUAAUAUAAAUAUCUGAUAUGUAAGAUAUCUGAUAUGUGACCCCUGUGAAAGAAUUGUUGAACCCACAAAGGUGUCACAACCCACAGGUUAAAAACUACUGCAUUCCUGGGAUUUGGGGAAGAUACAAAGUAUAUUUUUAUCCCCAUCAUAUUUAAUUAGUAAUCAAAUGUUACGGAUGAGAAGCAUUAUUUUUAAAAGGAAUAUGAAAACUUGAAUCUGCUCUUUAUGUAGAAAAGCUGAAAUGAACUUUAGACUUGCAUAAAAAAAUAGUAAGCAACUGGGCUGGGCAUAUGCAUCUGUCGGUAGAGUGCGUGUCUAUGGUGAGGAGCCUUGGGUUUGAACUCCACAUAGAACCAGGCAUGGUAGUAGAGAAUGGGUUUUUUGUUUGCAUGCUUGAUUUUGUUGUUGUUAGUGGUUGCUUGGUUGAUUAGUUUUUUGUUGUUGAUGUUUUGGUCUGAGUUUUGGGGGUUUGGGGGUAUUUGUUUGUUUGGUUGGUUGGUUUGGUUUUUUAGGGGAAGGUUUCUCUGUGUAGCCCUGGCUGUCCUGGAAUUCAGUCUGUAGCCCUGGCUGACCUUGAACUCCUAGAUCUACCUGCCUUGAGUGCUGGGACUAAAAGUGUGCUUUACCACUACUGGGUUAAUAGUGAAUGCUUUUAAUCCCAGUACUCAAGAAGGGGAAGCAAGAGGAUCAGAAGUUCAAGGUCAUCCUCAGGUACAUAAAGAUCUAGAUUUUGGACUGGGCUACAUGACAUCCUAUCCCAAAAUAAAGAAACAAGUAAAUUUACCUCAAUGCACACUGUAAAAUGUGAUAUGACAUCUCGAUUAAAACAAAACAACAAAACUGGGGAAAUGGGGCUGGGGAGAUGGAUCAGCAGUUAGUUAGGAGUGAAUGAAACCAAGUUUGGUUCCUAGCACAUGCCAUUUGGCUGAGUUUGUUAGUAACAGGGAUCCAAUGCCUCUGGCUUCCACAGGCACUAAAUUCAUGUUCAUAUACCUACACACAUUUUCUCUCUCUCUC